AAACUAAAUUGUUAAAGUUCUUGUGAAGUAGUUUCCUGAUAAAUGGCAUUCUUUGACAGAGCGUCUGGAUAAAUACAGUGCACUCGUGAUUGAUCCUCAAGAAUCUUGAGUUAUUUUUAAGAGAAUAUUUCAUUUUUAUAUUUAUAUGCGGUUGCCAUGAACGACACACUUGGAUUCAAAUUCCAGUUGCACCACCAACUCGAUGACCUUGGACGUGGUCCUUCAUUCUGGAGAGAGGUGUCGGGAGGAGGGAUACCGUUGACAUGAUAUGCAGAGAUGUCGAAAAACUGCAAUUCCUAUUAAGAACACUUGACUGUUUACUCGGCGCGGGAACUUCAGCCCCCGUCUGCAUCAAUCUAAAUGCGCUUCGAGACGUCAGGCCCCGAAAAGUGCAGACGGUUCGUCGGUUAUUUUUAAACGUAAUCUUCACAUAAAAGAACGGCAGCCUUCUCCUUUUCACUUUGUCAUCCCUUCUCUUCUUUAACGACGGCAUCCAGCGCAGGCAUAAGAAGGGGGUUUUUAUGACCCGUUUUGUUUAAGUUGCUCUUGGUGUUGAGCCUGUGGGCUCGUCUUGGGCCGAGCGAAAUUAUUAGUUAUGUUUAUGAAGUCGAUGGGGCGGGGGUCCCCGAUGUUCCACAGCCCAGGGGCUGGACGUGAGGAAUGGAGCUGCUGCGGUUUCUGAAUGGUGGGGUGCCCUGGCCCUGGACCUGGCAGGGAGAGGGGUCUGGUGGGGGUGUCCUCGGCUGAAAAAGAUGAACCCCGCACCGGCAUCUCCAUCUAGAACCCCCCCACGCUCCCUUGGCCCGAUCCUGAGCUUCUCGUCCUGGUCAUCGUCGUCUGUUUAGAAGCACUUGCUUCGCGCUUGGCACUCGGAGCCCGUCGACUUACCGAGCGCUCGAGCCUCGCGGGAUUGUGCAGCGCUGUGUCUGCACCAGGUGGCCCCAGGGGCCCUUGUCAUCUUGCCAGGACCAGGCUGCACCUUUUGGAGAGAUGUAUUUUCAGAAUUCUCGGCAUGUUGACAUGUUUUCCCUUUCCAGUUCACUGUCCCUUUUAGUCAACUCUCCUAAGAAGCAGAGAUGGAAGAAAAAAAUGCAGAGUUAAAAAAAAAAAAAAGACAUCAUUUGGAACACAGUGGGCACACAUGCCUGUGGAGGGCACCUGGGGAGCCGGCGAGGGUGCUGGGCAGAGUGUGUGAGCACCUAACUCUGAACAGUAUCUGGUGCUCCGGCUCCCAUUUGUCCCACUGUGUAGACGAGAAAACUGAGGCUCUGGAAGACUGAGCUGACCCCUGCACUAAUUACUAAAGAGACAGUCCCCUGCUAAAUAGAGGUCAUGCCCUCUUUGCCAAACCCAUGCCGUCGGCGGGUACUUGUGUGUCUGCUUUAUUUCUCUCUCUCUCUUUUUUUUUUU